rnacentral:rRNA from 1 species
GACGAACGCUGGCGGCGUGCUUAACACAUGCAAGUCGAACGGAAAGGCCCUGCUUUUGUGGGGUGCUCGAGUGGCGAACGGGUGAGUAACACGUGAGUAACCUGCCCUUGACUUUGGGAUAACUUCAGGAAACUGGGGCUAAUACCGGAUAGGAGCUCCUGCUGCAUGGUGGGGGUUGGAAAGUUUCGGCGGUUGGGGAUGGACUCGCGGCUUAUCAGCUUGUUGGUGGGGUAGUGGCUUACCAAGGCUUUGACGGGUAGCCGGCCUGGGAGGGUGACCGGCCACAUUGGGACUGGGGUGCGGCCAAGAGUCCUACGGGAGGAAGGAGUGGGGAAUAUUGCACGAUGGGCGGAAGCCUGAUGCAGCAACGCCGGGUGCGGGAUGACGGCCUUCGGGUUGUAAACCGCUUUCGCCUGUGACGAAGCGUGAGUGACGGUAAUGGGGAAAGAAGCACCGGCUAACUACGU